CCUACGGGAGGCAGCAGUGGGGAAUAUUGCACAAUGGGGGAAACCCUGAUGCAGCGACGCCGCGUGAGUGACGAAGUAUUUCGGUAUGUAAAGCUCUAUCAGCAGGGAAGAAGAUAGACGGAACCUGACUAAGAAGCCCCGACGAACUACGUACCAGCAGCCGCGGGAAUACGACGGGGGCAAGCGUUAUCCGGAUUUAAUGGGUGUAAAGGGAGCGUAGACUGCUUGGUAAGUCUGAAGUGAAAGACCAGGGCUCAACCCUGGGACUGCUUUGGAGACUGGCGGGCUAGAGUGCUGGAGAGGUCAGUGGAAUUCCUGGUGUAGCGGUGAAAUGCGUAGAUAUUAGGAGGAACACCAGUGGCGAAGGCGGCUUACUGGACAGUAACUGACGUUGAGGCUCGAAAGCGUGGGGAGCAAACAGGAUUAGAUACCCGAGUAGUC
rnacentral:rRNA from 1 species